rnacentral:rRNA from 1 species
GGCUCAUCACAUCCUGGGGCUGAAGUAGGUCCCAAGGGUAUGGCUGUUCGCCAUUUAAAGUGGUACGCGAGCUGGGUUUAGAACGUCGUGAGACAGUUCGGUCCCUAUCUGCCGUGGGCGCUGGAGAAUUGAGGGGGGCUGCUCCUAGUACGAGAGGACCGGAGUGGACGCAUCACUGGUGUUCGGGUUGUCAUGCCAAUGGCACUGCCCGGUAGCUAAAUGCGGAAGAGAUAAGUGCUGAAAGCAUCUAAGCACGAAACUUGCCCCGAGAUGAGUUCUCCCUGACUCCUUGAGAGUCCUGAAGGAACGUUGAAGACGACGACGUUGAUAGGCCGGGUGUGUAAGCGCAGCGAUGCGUUGAGCUAACCGGUACUAAUGAACCGUGAGGCUUAACCUUACAACGCCGAAG